AGUGAUUCGUUACCUUCUUUACGACUUAACCCCCAAUCAUCGGUCCUACCUUACACAGCUCCCUGGACUAGUCCUUAAGCCACCGGCUUCGGGUAUUACCAACUCUCAUGGUUUGACGGGCGUUUUGUACAAGCCCCGAGAACGUAUUCACCCCGACAUGCUGAUUCUCGAUUACUACGAUUCCAACUUCAUGAGGUCGAGUUGCAGACCUCAAUCCGAACUGAGACGUAUUUUAUAAGUUUUGCUCCACCUUACGGUAUUGCCUCUUGCUGUAUACGCCAUUGUAGUACGUGUGUAGCCCAGGCCAUAAAGGGCAUGAUGAUUUGACUUCAUCCCCACCUUCCUCCGGUUUGUCACCGGCAGUCUCUCUAGAGUCCCCAACUUAAUGAUGUAACUAAAGACAAGGGUUCGCUCGUUGCGGGACUUAACCCAACAUCUCACACACGAGCUGACGACAACCAUGCACCACCUCUCACCCUGAUAACCUCUGCCAUAUCUCUAUGGUUUUUGCCGGGGUGUCGGGCC
rnacentral:rRNA from 1 species